AACGAACGCUGGCGGCAGGCUUAACACAUGCAAGUCGAGCGCCCCCCAAGGGGAGCGGCAGACGGGUGAGUAACACGUGGGAACGUGCCCUUUGGUUCGGAACAACUCAGGGAAACUUGAGCUAAUACCGGAUGUGCCCUUCGGGGGAAAGAUUUAUCGCCAUUGGAGCGGCCCGCGUCUGAUUAGCUAGUUGGUGAGGUAAAGGCUCACCAAGGCGACGAUCAGUAGCUGGUCUGAGAGGAUGAUCAGCCACAUUGGGACUGAGACACGGCCCAAACUCCUACAGGAGGCAGCAGUGGGGAAUCUUGCGCAAUGGGCGAAAGCCUGACGCAGCCAUGCCGCGUGAAUGAUGAAGGUCUUAGGAUUGUAAAAUUCUUUCACCGGGGACGAUAAUGACGGUACCCGGAGAAGAAGCCCCGGCUAACUUCGUGCCAGCAGCCGCAGUAACAC
rnacentral:rRNA from 1 species